GGGGUUGUGGCUCAGUGGUAGAGUGCUCGCCUAGUAUGGGAGAGGCCCUGGGUUUGAUCCCCAACACCA
rnacentral:tRNA from 1 species